AUUGAACGCUGGCGGCAGUCCUAACACAUGCAAGUCGCACGAGUGGCGGACGGGUGAGUACUGUCUGGGAAACUGCCCGAUGGAGGGGGAUCACUACUGGAAACGGUAUCUAAUACCGCAUACCAUCUUAUGUGCCCAGAUGGGACUAGCUAGUAGGUUGGGUAACGGCGAACCUAGGCGACGAUCCCUAGCUGGUCUGAGAGGAUGACCAGCCACACGGGAACUGAGACACGGUCCAGACUCCUACGGGAGGCAGCAGUGGGGAAUAUUGCACAAGGGGCGAAAGCCUGAUGAAGCCAUGCCGCGUGUAUGAAGAAGGCCUUCGGGUUGUAAAGUACUGUCAGCGAGGAGGCGUUACUCGCAGAAGAAGCACCGGCUAACUCCGUGCCAGCAGCCGCGGUAAUAC
rnacentral:rRNA from 1 species